GACGAACGCUGGCGGCGUGCUUAACACAUGCAAGUCGAGCGGAGCGGCGAACGGGUGAGUAACGCGUGAGUAACUGCCCCCCUCUCUGGGAUAACAGUUGGAAACGGCUGCUAAUACCGGAUAGUGGGGGAUGACUUGCGUCCUCUCAGCUUGUUGGUGGGGUAGUGGCCUACCAAGGCGACGACGGGUUGCCGGCCUGAGAGGGCGACAGGCCAAAGUGUGCUGUGAGACGGCCCAAACUGCUACGGGGGUCAGGAGUGGGGGAUAUUGCACGAUGGGGGAAACCCUGAUGCAGCAACGCCGCGUGCGGGAUGACGGCCUUCGGGUUGUAAACCGCUUUCAGCCAUGACGCGGUAGUGGCAGAAGAAGCACCGGCUAACUACGUGCCAGCAGCCGCGGUAAUUC
rnacentral:rRNA from 1 species